CGAGAAGUGGCGCAGUUGGUUAGCGCACCACGUUAGGGACGUGGGGGUCGUGCGUUCGAGUCGCAUCUUCUCGA
rnacentral:tRNA from 1 species